rnacentral:ncRNA from 1 species
AACCGCCGUAUGCCGAACGGCAUGUACGGUGGUGUGAGAGGGGAGAAAAAAAUCUCCCCUACUCGAU